rnacentral:tRNA from 1 species
GCCUUCUUAGCUCAAUUGGCAGAGCGUUCUACGGCUAGAGGAAAGAUGUGGGUUCGAAUCCUACAGAGGGCG